rnacentral:rRNA from 1 species
AGAGUUUGAUCCUGGCUCAGGAUGAACGCUAGCUACAGGCUUAACACAUGCAAGUCGAGGGGAAACGGCAUUAAGUGCUUGCACUUUUUGGACGUCGACCGGCGCACGGGUGAGUAACGCGUAUCCAACCUUCCCAUGACUAAGGGAUAACCUGCCGAAAGGCAGACUAAUACCUUAUGGUCUUCACUGACGGCAUCAGAUGUGAAGUAAAGAUUUAUCGGUUAUGGAUGGGGAUGCGUCUGAUUAGCUUGUUGGCGGGGUAACGGCCCACCAAGGCAACGAUCAGUAGGGGUUCUGAGAGGAAGGUCCCCCACAUUGGAACUGAGACACGGUCCAAACUCCUACGGGAGGCAGCAGUGAGGAAUAUUGGUCAAUGGGCGAGAGCCUGAACCAGCCAAGUAGCGUGCAGGAUGACGGCCCUAUGGGUUGUAAACUGCUUUUGUAUGGGGAUAAAGUCAAUCACGUGUGAUUGUUUGCAGGUACCAUACGAAUAAGGACCGGCUAAUUCCGUGCCAGCAGCCGCGGUAAUACGGAAGGUCCGGGCGUUAUCCGGAUUUAUUGGGUUUAAAGGGAGCGUAGGCUGGAGAUUAAGUGUGUUGUGAAAUGUAGACGCUCAACGUCUGACUUGCAGCGCAUACUGGUUUCCUUGAGUACGCACAACGUUGGCGGAAUUCGUCGUGUAGCGGUGAAAUGCUUAGAUAUGACGAAGAACUCCGAUUGCGAAGGCAGCUGACGGGAGCGCAACUGACGCUGAAGCUCGAAGGUGCGGGUAUCGAACAGGAUUAGAUACCCUGGUAGUCCGCACAGUAAACGAUGGAUGCCCGCUGUUGGUACUUGGUAUCAGCGGCUAAGCGAAAGCAUUAAGCAUCCCACCUGGGGAGUACGCCGGCAACGGUGAAACUCAAAGGAAUUGACGGGGGCCCG